UACGUAGGGUGCGAGCGUUAAUCGGAAUUACUGGGCGUAAAGCGUGCGCAGGCGGUCGUGCAAGACAGAUGUGAAAUCCCCGGGCUCAACCUGGGAAUUGCAUUUGUGACUGCACGGCUAGAGUGUGUCAGAGGGGGGUAGAAUUCCACGUGUAGCAGUGAAAUGCGUAGAGAUGUGGAGGAAUACCGAUGGCGAAGGCAGCCCCCUGGGAUAACACUGACGCUCAUGCACGAAAGCGUGGGGAGCAAACAGG
rnacentral:rRNA from 1 species